AACGAACGCUGGCGGCAUGCCUAACACAUGCAAGUCGAACGAACUCUUCGGAGUUAGUGGCGCACGGGUGCGUAACGCGUGGGAAUCUGCCCUUGGGUACGGAAUAACUCAGAGAAAUUUGUGCUAAUACCGUAUAAUGACUUCGGUCCAAAGAUUUAUCGCCCAAGGAUGAGCCCGCGUAAGAUUAGCUAGUUGGUGGGGUAAAGGCCUACCAAGGCGACGAUCUUUAGCUGGUCUGAGAGGAUGAUCAGCCACACUGGGACUGAGACACGGCCCAGACUCCUACGGGAGGCAGCAGUGGGGAAUAUUGGACAAUGGGCGAAAGCCUGAUCCAGCAAUGCCGCGUGAGUGAUGAAGGCCUUAGGGUUGUAAAGCUCUUUUACCCGGGAUGAUAAUGACAGUACCGGGAGAAUAAGCUCCGGCUAACUCCGUGCCAGCAGCCGCCGUAAAAC
rnacentral:rRNA from 1 species